GGAUUAGGCAUGCAAGUCGAGCGCGAACAGCGGCGCCCGCAAGGGGUGGAAAAGGGAGAGUAACGCGUGGGUAUCUGCCCUCGGGUCUGGGAUAGCUGCGGGAAACUGCAGGUAAUACCAGAUGACGUCCCCGGACCAAAGGUGUGAUUCCGCCCGAGGAUGAGCCCGCGUCCUAUUAGCUUGUUGGUAGGGUAACGGCCUACCAAGGCAAUGAUGGGUACUGGGUGUGAGAGCACGACCCAGCUCACUGGGACUGAGACACUGCCCAGACACCUACGGGUGGCUGCAGUCGAGAAUCUUCGGCAAUGGGCGAAAGCCUGACCGAGCGACGCCGCGUGUGGGAUGAAGGCCUUCGGGUUGUAAACCGCUGUCAGAGGGGAGGAAAUGCGUGGGGGUACUCCCCUGCGUUUGACCUAUCCUCAGAGGAAGUACGGGCUAAGUUCGUGCCAGCAGCCGCGGUAAGACGAACCGUACAAACGUUAUUCGGAAUCACUGGGCUUAAAGGGUGCGUAGGCGGCGCUGAAAGUUGGGUGUGAAAUCCCUCGGCUCAACCGAGGAACUGCGCCCAAAACUACAGUGCUCGAGGGAGAUAGAGGUGAGCGGAACUUAGGGUGGAGCGGUGAAAUGCGUUGAUAUCCUAAGGAACGCCAGGGGCGAAAGCGGCUCACUGGAUCUCUUCUGACGCUGAGGCACGAAAGCUAGGGUAGCGAACNGGAUUAGAUACCCCGGUAGUCCUAGCCGUAAACGUUGGGUACUAGGUUGUGGACUAACAUGGGUUCACAGCCGAAGCAAAAGUAUUAAGUACCCCGCCUGGGGAGUAUGGUCGCAAGGC
rnacentral:rRNA from 1 species